AGUGAACGCUGGCGGUAGGCCUAACACAUGCAAGUCGAACGGCAGCACAGUAAGAGCUUGCUCUUACGGGUGGCGAGUGGCGGACGGGUGAGGAAUACAUCGGAAUCUACUUUUUCGUGGGGGAUAACGUAGGGAAACUUACGCUAAUACCGCAUACGACCUACGGGUGAAAGCAGGGGAUCUUCGGACCUUGCGCGAUUGAAUGAGCCGAUGUCGGAUUAGCUAGUUGGCGGGGUAAAGGCCCACCAAGGCGACGAUCCGUAGCUGGUCUGAGAGGAUGAUCGGCCACACUGAAACUGAGACACGGUCCAGACUCCUACGGGAGGCAGCAGUGGGGAAUAUUGGACAAUGGGCGCAAGCCUGAUCCAGCCAUACCGCGUGGGUGAAGAAGGCCUUCGGGUUGUAAAGCCCUUUUGUUGGGAAAGAAAAGCAGCAGGUUAAUACCCCGCUGUUCGGACGGUACCCAAAGAAUAAGCACCGGCUAACUUCGU
rnacentral:rRNA from 1 species